rnacentral:misc_RNA from 1 species
GGAAGGAUCAUUAUUGAUUUUAAAGGAUGUGCUGGCAUUUAUGCAUGUGCACUCUUAAACCAAUAUCCACCCUGUGCACACUUGUAGGCAUUCUUUUGCCUAUGUUUCUUCACAAACAACUAUUGAUGUAUUUGAAUGCUAUUUGAUAAAUUGUAAUACAACUUUCAACAAUGGAUCUCUUGGUUCUCGCAUCGAUGAAGAACGCAGCGAAUUGCGAUAUGUAAUGUGAAUUGCAGAAUUCAGUGAAUCAUCGAAUCUUUGAACGCACAUUGCACCCUCUGGUAUUCCGGAGGGUAUGCCUGUUUGAGUGUCAUUAAUAUCUCAACCCAGACAGGUUUCACAACCUGCUCUGUUGCUUGGAUGUUGAAGGCUUGCUGGCUUUUUUCAAGUCAGCUCCUUUUAAAUUCAUUAGCAGAAAUGAUAGGCAAAACUGGCUUCAGUUUGAUAAACUACUUUAUCUGUACUGCUGUCGCUAGUGAAAGAUACCUAACAUAUUUCAGCUUCCAAUUGUCCCAUGUGGGACUGUCUUCUUGAAGGCAUAACCAAUUUGACACUUGACCUCAAAUCAGGUAGGACUACCCGCUGAACUUAAGCAUAUCAAUAAGCGGAGGAAAAGAAACUAACAAGGAUUCCCCCAGUAACUGCGAGUGAAGAGGGAAGAGCUCAAAUUUAGAAUCUGGCAGUCUUGGCUGUCCGAGUUGUAAAUUAGAGAAGUGUUAUCCGCGCUGGCUGUGCAUAAGUCUCUUGGAAAAGGGCAUCAUAGAGGGUGACAAUCCCGUCUUUGGCACAGACUACCAGGGCUUUUGUGAUACGCUCUCGAUGAGUCGAGUUGUUUGGGAAUGCAGCUCUAAAUGGGUGGUAAAUUCCAUCUAAAGCUAAAUAUUGGCGAGAGACCGAUAGCGCACAAGUACCGUGAGGGAAAGAUGAAAAGAACUUUGAAAAGAGAGUUAAACAGUACGUGAAAUUGUUGAAAGGGAAACGCUUGAAGUCAGUCACAUCCUUCAGAAAUCAACCUGACCGUCAGGUCUGGUGUACUUUCUGUUUGGAUGGGUCAGCAUCAAUUUUGAUCAUUGGAUAAAGGCCUUGGGAAAGUGGCAUCUCUGGAUGUGUUAUAGCCCAUGGUUCAUACACAGUGGUUGGGAUUGAGGAACUCUGUGCUUUUUUGCACUACAGGAUGCUGGCAUAAUGGCUUUAAUCGACCCGUCUUGAAACACGGACCAAGGAGUCUAACAUACAUGCGAGUGUUUGAGUGGAAAACUCAAGCGCGCAAUGAAAGUGAAAGUUGAGAACCCUGUCGUGGGGUGCAUCGACGCCCGGACCUGACCUUUUGUGAUGGACCUGCGGUAGAGCAUGCAUGUUGGGACCCGAAAGAUGGUGAACUAUGCCUGAAUAGGGUGAAGCCAGAGGAAACUCUGGUGGAAGCUCGUAGCGAUUCUGACGUGCAAAUCGAUCGUCGAAUUUGGGUAUAGGGGCGAAAGACUAAUCGAACCAUCUAGUAGCUGGUUCCCGC